rnacentral:sRNA from 1 species
AAAUUAUUCCUAAAGAGGCAUGUGCAAUAAGCGUCAAAAUAUAUACCAGAUGAUGAAUUGUCCUUUGCGCAUGCUCUGUCCAUGCGCACGGCAGUGUUCACGCAACUACUUCGCUGCCGGAUACUGUUACCCGUAUCGGGCGGUGAAAUGUUGCCCAGCUCAGAUUGUGUUCAUGUGUUCACUGUUCGGAAGUCGUAGUGCAGUUGAUAUCUAGCAAGGAUUACACAACAGAUCAAAAAGAAAAUCAUACAAGCAAAUUAUGGAUUCUUGCAAAUCAAUAUGCACUUUUAAGUGGAUAUUCAUUUAUGACUCAACAGUAGAUUUUUCUUAGUGAGAGUGUGAAUUAUAUUUUUUUGAUUUCAUAACGCAGCUCUAGUGUAUUGCAUAUUUAUAUCUUUUGAGUUUAAUUUCUAAUAAAGUGCAUUUUAAUAUCCU